rnacentral:pre_miRNA from 1 species
AGGGGGGAGAGGGUGUCCCUCAGCCUGGAUUGCGAGAGGGCGCAGGCCAGGCUGAGGGGCCCCACUGGUGCAUG